rnacentral:rRNA from 1 species
UACGUAGGGUGCGAGCGUUAAUCGGAAUUACUGGGCGUAAAGCGUGCGCAGGCGGUUUUGUGAGUCAGAUGUGAAAGCCCCGGGCUUAACCUGGGAAUGGCAUUUGGGACUGCAAGGCUUGAGUGCGGCAGAGGAGACUGGAAUUCCUGGUGUAGCAGUGAAAUGCGUAGAUAUCAGGAGGAAUACCGAUGGCGAAGGCAGGUCUCUGGGCUGACACUGACGCUCAUGCACGAAAGCGUGGGGAGCAAACAGG